rnacentral:rRNA from 1 species
AGCAGCCGCGGUAAUUCCAGCUCCAAUAGCGUAUAUUAAAGUUGUUGCAGUUAAAAAGCUCGUAGUUGAAUUUCGGGAUUGACCCAUCGGUCGUGCCUUAAGGGGUAUGAACUGGUGUAGUCAAUUUCUCACCUUCUGGAGAACCGCGAUGUCCUUAAUUGGGUGCCGCGAGGAACCAGGACCUUUACUUUGAAAAAAUUAGAGUGUUUAAAGCAGGCAUUUUUGCUUGAAUACAUUAGCAUGGAAUAAUAAAAUAGGACGGCAUGAUUCUAUUUUGUUGGUUUCUAGGAUCACCGUAAUGAUUAAUAGGGAUAGUUGGGGGCAUUAGUAUUCAAUUGUCAGAGGUGAAAUUCUUGGAUUUAUGAAGACUAACUACUGCGAAAGCAAUUUGCCAAGGAUGUUUUCAUUAAUCAAGAACGAAAGUUAGGGAUCGAAGACGAUCAGAUACCGUCGUAGUCUAACCAUAAACUAUAGCCGACUAGGAAUCAGACGAUGUUAAUUUUUAAUGACUCGUUGCACU